rnacentral:lncRNA from 1 species
UCAAUACUUCCCUACUUGAGGGGAUCGCAUAUACUAAAUUAAAAUGCAGUGAUCACAUAACAGAUUAUAAAUUGUUUUCUUAAUUUACACACACUGUACACCUGCUUUCCCAAAUCGGCAUUACCAUAUCACCGUAUAUCCAACCUUUAGGCGCAACAGGCAACCUACAAUUGGAGUGAUGGUUCAGUAAGAAAGAACAUUUAGCACAAAGAAAGAUGAAUUUUGAAAAAAAAAACUUGCAGUGAACACAGAAAAAAUCGAUGCUCGACUGACUACUAAUACCAUCUCAAAAUAUGCAAGAUGCAAGAUGCUUGACUGACUACUAAUACCAUCCAAAAAUCAAUGCUCAACUGACUACUAAUACCAUCUAAAAAUAAGAGGUCAAACCAAUCAAGUGAAAGACUUUUGAACUGGAAUUAGACACAUUGUACAUCAUCAAUCAUUAGGAGCUGGACCCCAUAGAAUCUUUUCGGCUUCGGUUGUAUGAUUAGAAUUUGGCUUCAAACUAACUAAACUAAAGAGUUUUUUUCCUUGUCCACUCUUUUGUUGCUAAAUUAUGAUCCAUAAAGUUAUAGUGCAUCUUGGAAAGGUUAUAAUAGUUUUGGUUACAGGGUUGAUGAUAUAUCUAUGGAUAUUAUGUUGACUGAUAGCCCAUGGUUCAUCUGAGCUCACUUUGGCGCGAAUGCGGUGAUGAAGGUUCGACCUGCAGUUUCAGAUUUCCCUUGACUCAUUCAGUGCAGCUUCCUUCGUGACGUAUGCCACAUGCUAAUAUCAACUUUCUCAUUGUAUAUAAAUUUUCAGGAGAAAAAAGGAAAAAGUUGAUACGGUUUUCCUUGCAGCUCAAUUUUCACACCCUUCCCAGGUUAAUAUUCACUGCUUUCUUUGGACCAACUUUAUGCUGCCUUUUCUCUGCACACACCUCAUCAAAACUGAACCAAGAGGCAUCACAUAGGUUUAGAUGGCGCGUGUGAACAUGGUUUAAGAUAUGAUAUUUCUUGGAGAGAGCAAACUAACCCUUUCAAUUUCACGAUCUAUUAACUAAAAUAUUGAUCGACGGCACAUUCUGAUGCUUCAACUUUGUUUUUGCCUUAUUGUCACUUAAUUAGGUAAUAUAGUAAGAAAGAAUACUGAAUGAGACUCGAAGGAAUUUUGAUGUCAACUCGUGAUUAGCAGAACUUAAAAUGAUCUCUUUAGACAAGUAUCAGAUUAAAGAAACCAAUAUAGAACCUUAUUAAAUAGGGACUUAGCUGGAAGGUGAGAAAGAAAUUACAAUUGCUAUUGGUGCAACAAUACAAAAUUUAGCUUAGCUAUCUAUCAGAUUUCUUGACUCAAAUUCCAGCUAGCAAAGACGAAGAUUGAAUCCCCAAAAAUCCAUGCUAAACCAAAUAUAGACUUGUUGAUUUACCUCAAUUGAAUUAUUUAUAAAACAUUAUACAUGAACUUGUUUUAAAUACAUGACAAAAUCUAGCUGAGCUAAACCUUCCUGGAAUCUUAUGUGGAUUUUUAGAGUUUAGACCAAGGAGAAAUGGGGAAAUAAUUCGGGACAGAGGGUAGUGCACACGGGAGCCUCAGAAUAGCGGGUAGCCUAGCGAUGUUUAUAGGAAAAAGGUGGCUUUUGUCUCAUCAGUGAGUUUGUUGCCCAAUGCCCGUGCUACUGAUAUAAUGUCGUUCAUGACAUACCUCGCCCAGUUCAAAUUCGGGAUGUCAUCCAAAUUUUAUGAGAGCCACAAAAUAUGUUGGAAGAAUAACUACGGAUCAAAUGGACCUCGAACUUUAUCUCACCGUGAACACCACAUCAAUCACAUUCUAACAGGAGGCCUCAGCCAUCGCCAAGGCAUCUCAUGGAACAUGGGGGAAACUCCAAAUCGAACAGAGCAACACAAAAAUAGGAAUCAGGCAUGAGGAAAGGGGAAUAAGCUAACCUGGGUAAUGGGAUCAGCAGGCCCAGGAGGGUGCCACCAUGCCAGUGGCCUCCACAAGAAUAAUCUUGCACACGAUGUCGCCUCAAGCAAUGGAUCGCCAACACCAGAACCGAAGCACUUGUUGUUCAUGGUUUCAGUUAUGAGAUAUCCCGUGAACUGAGGUACAAAUCACAAAUAGGUCAGCUCAUGAGCUAAAGAAUAUAAUCUUAUCCAAGAAAAGAUAAAAUAGUUCGCAGCAACAAAGCUUUAUUAAGUUCUUUACUAAGAAAGCUAACUUAGAAAUUACAGCCCAAACAGAGAAUAAAUGGUUUAGAACAGGCAUAAAUCUGAUCCAUCUUCCAUCAUCAAUAAUAAAAACAGGAAAUCUUGAAAUCCUUGAUCCAAACAUCAUAAGUCACAAAAGUCGAAGCAAACAGUGAACUGAAAAUUACUCUGAAAAAAACUUUUCUUUUGUUGACUCUAAACGAAGCCCAUGCCCUGUUACUCCAUUCUUUUGUUGACUCUAAAUGAAGCGUGAUUUAUAUGUUCGAUUACAGCCAUGACUUGGCGAUAUUCUAAAGAAUAUAACUAUAAGACCAGAGAUAGAAAACUAACAGAGAAUGCUGAGAAUAGAGAACACCUGUAAUAUAGUAAUGGUACAAAAAUUUGGUCGUAAGGUUGUGUGUGGCCGACAAGGGUGGCUCAGGGAGCGCACCAUGCAGCAGCGUGCGAGCGCUGCGGAAGAUGGGGAUGGGAGGGAGGCGUUUGCGUGCGCAUUUGGUGAUCAAAUGGCUCAGGAGGGGACCGAUCUUGGGAUAGGAUCAGUCAACCAACAUGUAGUAGUGACCUGACCGGAAAGGUAGGAUUUGCAUGAGCAGGUCAACAGAGAAUUAUAAUGUCAGCAUAUAGCAAUAAAACCAAUGAGCACUAUCAAGUUACCAAAAAGAGGGCGUUUACCGACAGCUUACCGUUAAUUUGCAGUCGUACCACUCAGUUAAAAUUAAGAAUAACCACACCUCAUUCAAUUAUGAUUCAAACAACAUGAACAAUUAUCCGUGAAGUUCAUUUCUAAACUACGCGCUUAUUAAGAUAGGUGUUUACCGGUAAUAGGGUAAAAUGAUACAUAAGUUUUAACUUCAGGAUAGGUAUUUACUGUAUUUUUCAGAGAUGGACAUGCGGGUCACCCCAUUAACUCAACAAGUAGAUAUAUUAGCUAGCUAUUGGUGUUCUCAGAAACCAUAAAUAGUUUAAACCGAAUUAUGUGUGCUUGUGCAGAUAGUAUAGAUGUAUGAUGGAUUCCUAGUUGCCGUGAUCAAUGAUCAAGGAGAUGCUUCUACAUGCAUACGCAUAGAACUAAGCAUUCAUUCUUCUCCUUGAUUCUAUUCUCCUGUUAAGCUCUCAAAUUUCUACACAUUUAUGAUAGAAAAAUGUGAUACUACAACUGCAGUUUAUAUUGCUGUAUUUAUAUGCUUCCAUACACAUGCUAUGAAGCACGAAACAUGACAAGGAAAAUACAAAGGAUAGCCUAAAGCAAAACAAUGGGGUUAACUAAAAUUUACCUAUUCUAAACUUGUUUCUUUCUGAACAGAGCAUCAACUCAAACCACAUAUAGCAGUGAAGCAACAAUGAUAUUUUCUCUAAAAAUCCAACACAGUGCCACAGACAGCACACAACACACUUAAGUACAAAAAAUCAUCAUUUUCCUUUGAAAGGGAGGGCGUUGGUUGGGUAAUGUGUACCAAAAAAUCAUGCCAAAUUUGAACGAAAGCCUGGGCAACCACUGAGACAUAAAGGAGUCAGAGGGGAGGUAAGGAGGAUUGGGAGUAGGUCAUCUAUGCAAGGAAGAUCACGGGGACCAAAAUCCUACAUGAGACUGAAAUGGAAAGGUUGCCCAAGGCAGACAAGAAUCAUCGGAAUCAUUUUCGAAUCUAAAAAUGGAAUAUAGACAGCAGUGACGAUAGUAGUAGAUGCAGAAUUAUGCUUAAGAGCACAACUGAAAUCUAUAUAACCGUCGUAUUCAUGUGCAGACAUAUCUUCAUCACAUCAUCGUUUUCCAAGUAUAGUUAAUAAGAAAUCCGAUUCACAUAUGUCCUGGUCAUCCCAUUUAUGCUGAAUAUAUUCAAGGCACUUCUGUAACAAUUUUUUUUAAAUACCCACUGUUAUCUAAUAUCUAGUAAACUGGGUACAAAAGACGGAGGCAAGAAGCCCAUGUUCUCUCAGAUCGAGUAUAUCCCUGUCCUGAAUGGUGUAUCCAAGGUUCCCCAUGUCAUGUUUAAGUACGAAUCACUUGUUUAUUGUGACAUGGACCACUGAUAUCUGAAAUAUAUGAAAAGACCCAUCAGGGCCCAGGAAAAAUAUGCCCUCCUAAAAGUAAAAGAAUGUCCCUGCUAUUUAAAAGAAGAUUGGCACUAAUAAGAGGCUAAGGAGAAGCAAAAUAAGCAAAGUAAAUGUCUGAAAAAUAAGAGGAGAGCAUCUUCGACAUUACCUAGAUACAUUCAGAAAAUCAAAAGCACCUGAACUAACAACUAAAACAGUGCCCUGAAAUAGAAUCCCAGACAUGAAGCUAUAAGCAUAAAUAACAACCAACGCAAAAUCAAAAGAAAUAAAAAUAUGUGCAUCACAAAAUACUAUUAGGAGAUCAGGUCUACUGUACAAAUAUGAGGCAGCUGCCAUACAAUCUCUAGAUGCGAAACAGCUGCAUUCAUAACUAUAUAUGCAUUAGCAAGAUAAAUCACUCUACCGAUUUGUAAGCAGCAAACCAGCUCAAAUGUAGUCAUCAUCAGUAACUCUUGCUUCGAUAAUAACAGCCAACCACCAUGUAUAUCCAUCCAUGAUACAUAAAGGGGGAGAAGUAAAUUACGUUGAAUGAGAAUUAAUUAAUUGCCACGCGGCUGCAGCUGCCAAACAUGCCACGGUUAAAUACAUGGAUUUUGUCAGGGAUCUGGGUACAUGAAAAUAGACAAAGUAACAAAUCAAUUAGAAGGAGCCAAAACAAGCAGAGGUGGUCAGUGAGAAUACCCGCAGGCGCCCCAACAGGCUAUAGACACCAUGUCACCGUGACAUGAGCCGAGACAUGGUGCCUAACAUGAGCCGAGACAGGCCGGCGAAACUGUAACAUGACGUGCAACAUGUAAGAAAGUAAGCAUCCAGGGAAGAUAGGCUGGCAGGCCAAGCAACUAAAUUAGAACACAUACACCCAUUUCUUGCACAGAGCAGUGCUUGUAAUCCCUUUAUUUAUUUUCAUUAACAAAGUGAGAAUGCAGGGUUAUUUUUUCAUUAAAAAAUGUGAGAAUGCAGGGCGGAGAAGGAUGAGGAAGCAACGAUAGAAAGCUCUAUUACCUCACACGGCCAUUCGAACUAAUCACCAGGAGACAAAAGAACAUAUUAGGCUCUAGGAAUUAACACAACCUCUAUUGCUUUGUUCAUACACACUCAAUUCUGAAAAAGGAAAACAUAAGCUUCAGGAGCAAACAAAUAGAAUAUGAAAACUGUAUAUAUAUACAGAGAAAACAAAAAUAGGAACGCAAACUGUCAUAUUACUCCCAGGUGUGAAGAGCCAAAGCUAUUUUCAAGCAGUAUUAUAAGCUAGCUCUAGAUUUUACUCCAUAGUAAACAGAAUAGUUUUGUAAGGUAGCUCUAGAUUUUAUACGAUUCAAAAAAGCAGCAGAUGGACACAUGAUUGUACAACUGAUGCAUAGUCACCCUCUUCUUGGAAUAGCCCACGGCUUAUACAUAUAGAUGAAAAUUUCAUCCAAACAUGCCAGUGUUUUUAGGCCAUUAAAUGGAAAGUGAUGCAUUUUUUGUUUGUCAAGUCCCUAUUGACCCACAGGGCAAACAGUGGUGUUUUACCAGGCCAACUAUUUUCAAAAUUUCACUAAACAGAACCCAACACCCAAAAGUAAUAGAGGGACGUUCUCCUCAUUAGCAUACAGACUGCACAGAGGUGAGCUAUAUGGACUCUACAACCAGCAGCAAGUGCAAGAUGUGUAGUGUGUAUGCCUAGUUGCCUACCAAGUUCUACUUCAUUCUACUGGUCAGAACUCUCUAAGGCGUCCGCCUUGCCUUAUGCCUUACCGCUUAGGCGGUGAGGCGCCCCCCCCAGCGCCUUGCCUCGCCUUACUGCCUUAAAAACAUAGCUCAUCAGUUACCUACGCCAUCUCACAACGCCAAAAACAUCCAUUCAUGGCAGAGAAUAUAUCAUCCACCACCGCAACGGAAAAGGAAACAUAAACGAAUUAAAUGAACAUGUAAAGACAAUAAAAGAAAAUUGUGCUUAAAAAGAACCAGGUCCAUAC